CACGGGGGGAGCAAGCGUUGUUCGGAAUCACUGGGCGUAAAGGGCGUGUAGGCGGUUGGAUAAGUGGAAUGUGAAAUGCCUCGGCUCACCCGAGGAUCGGCAUCCCAAACUGUCCGACUUGAGUAUGGGAGAGGAUGAGGGAAUUCCUGGUGUAGCGGUGAAAUGCGCAGAUAUCAGGAAGAACACCCGUGGCGAAGGCGGGAUCCUGGGCCAGUACUGACGCUGAGGAGCGAAAGCGUGGGGAGCAAACAGG
rnacentral:rRNA from 1 species